rnacentral:tRNA from 1 species
GCCGGAGUGGUGGAACAGGUAGACACGCAGGAUUUAGGUUCCUGUGCCUUCGGGCGUGGGGGUUCGACUCCCCCCUUCGGCA